ACUUUAUUCAAUCAAUUCUUGUGUCUCUCCAAUGAAUAAAACUAUGCCUUUCAGGAAUGAGGAAACUGAGGAAGAGGUGCUAAACGUGUUUGCACGGCUCACAGAGAUUUGGUCACAGCAGAAAUUGUUGGAUUCAGGAGGCUACUCCACCCCCAUCUGCACCCACAUCACAAGCCCACACCUUCCCCUUCUGGUGUUACUGGAAUACAAAUGCUUCUUUCUCUUAUGUGCUUGCCAAGACCUGGGGCAGAACCAUCAUAUUCCCUGUAUGCCAGUGGAUGUGGUCAUUCCACAAGCUCUUCCAUAGGUCCUUUACUCAUAUGGAGAGCUGCCUCUGACAGAUGAUCAGGCUGAAGAUCUGGAAGAGAUCCAGAAGCACAGGAGCUCACAACAGUUGUGGAUGACACAAACUGACAAGGCGGCAAAUAACCAUGAAGACUCUUUGGUAUAGUGGCACACAUAUAUAAAAUAUAUAAAUUCAUAAUACAAAUAAUAUAAAUGACGUUUGUGUACACACACAGAAAUACAUAUGCAUAUUUGCUUAAGCAACCUGGAUUGUUUGGAGAAUUUGAUUAAUGCAAAAUACGGUUCUAUGUGACUAUUUAGUACUUGGCAUGGUCAUAAAAAGAAGUCCUGAAGGUCAUGCCUACAAAUGCAUGGACUGCAGUGUGAGUGGCAGUAUGAUAAGUAGGAGUCUCAGCUCAACAGGAAUUAUUAUUUUGAUGUAGACACAAAUCAGACUAUUAUAGUUCUUGAACAGAUAAAAAAAGAAAAGUGAGAAACAUCUGAAAGUAUGAUUUCCCUCUGACAAUAAUGUCAGUGAGCUGGAUACUGGGCAUCUGGACAGUUUUGAAGGUCACACACUCAACACUCAGGUAUGCACACACACAAACUACAAACAUGGAAAGGGUACAGAAAAGAGCCAUACAAUGAUCUGAUGGGGGAGAAGAAGUAUCUUAUAGCAAGGAUUUAGAGAUCUCCUCUAAAAUCUUUAAUGAUUUUAAGUUACAGAAAAUUUGAGAAAAGUCUUAAUUGUAGUCUAAUAAUACCUCCAUGGAAAUAAAACAAUGGCUUUUCAAAAGCCUUUUAUUUCA
rnacentral:lncRNA from 1 species